rnacentral:misc_RNA from 1 species
GGGAAAAAUUGAGAUGCAUGACUCCAGUUUUUGGAGUGACUAGUGCUGUAACCCCUAUGGGGGGUUUGAGUUAAUAGAAAGGCAAAGAGAGAACCAUGGUUAGGCCAAAGGUGAGACCUCAAAAAAGCAGAUGAGGAAGCAUAGAAGUGGGGCCAGGUGGCUAGAAUGCGAUAGUCUCUAGCGAUGAGGAAUUGGCGGGGCACGAAGAGCCAUGGUCACGCCUGAUUGCAAAGCUGCAGUUGGUGCAAGAGACAUGGGUGCACCAUAGUGCUGGGGGUACGCUCCAGUUGAAUUAAUGGCUGAAUACUGAAACAGAUGGUGAGGAUACUGAACACCAUAGCUUUGCCCUGAAGUGUAGCCAGCAGCUCCUCCUCCACUUCCCUCUCCAAAUUGGAGAUAAGGAUAAAACGCAGUUGCCGCACCUGUCAUCAUCCCUCCAGGCCCAGUUCCGUACAUAGAAUACUGGGCAGUUGCCCCUCCAUAUAUACUGUAGUAGCUCGCCGGGUAAGUGUAGUCUGGCGAGUAUGGAGAGUACCCAUAAACAUUAUAAGGUAUCCCUUGCUGGAUGGCAUAAUGAGGGAAGGAUGCUGCUGAAGGAAAAGUUGUUCCCACCCCACCUCCAAACCCAGUCUGAAAAGAGCUCAUUACCCUAAAGUUUCUACCUGCUCCUCCAUGCUUUGGAGUAGAAGGUUUGGAUCUCUGAACUCCCAAAGAUGCAAGGUUGCAAUUAGCCCUUCUCCCAUCUAUCACAGGAGCAGCAUCAACACAGGCCCUCAUAGCUGCUUCGGGAUCCCGAAAAGUUACAAAUCCGUAUCCCUUGGAUCUGCCGGUGGCCUUAUCGGUGAUGACAACAGCCUCCAAGAUCUCACCAAACUGCUCAAAGUACUUCUUCAUGGUCUCUUUUUGUGUCUCCCAAGCCAAGCCCCCAACAAACACCUUGGUGUAUGUAGUGUCACCAAACUGCCCGGCCAAAUUCGCUGGAGUCAUCUUAAUUUUCUUCUUCUCGGGAUCUCUUAUUAAUUAUCAACCUCAAACCAAAGACCAAAUCCAAAGUCAGCAGCUACAAAAAAAACUUAUAUGUCAGAUGAUGAGACCUAUAUAUAUGUGGCACAAUAUAGACAAGUUAUAGAUAGAUAGAUCUAAGACAGAAAUGAGAAAGAGAAAGAGAAAGACCCGCUAAAUUUAGACUUUAGAGGGAUCUUCUCUUAGAUUUAGAGAUGGUGUUGUUGCUGAGCUGAGACAAUUAGGUCAGAGAGAGUGAAAUUUGGGAGGGAAGGG